rnacentral:rRNA from 1 species
ACGUAGGGGGCAAGCGUUAUCCGGAAUUAUUGGGCGUAAAGAGUGCGUAGGUGGUUUUUUAAGCGUGAGGUGAAAGGCAAUAGCUUAACUAUUGUAAGCCUUGCGAACGGGAAGACUUGAGUGCAGAAGAGGAAAGUGGAAUUCCUAGUGUGGCGGUGAAAUGCGUAGAUAUUAGGAGGAACGCCAGUAGCGAAGGCGAGUUUCUGUAUUGUAACUGACACUGAGGCACGAGAGCGUGGGGAGCAAACAG